rnacentral:rRNA from 1 species
GAUGAACGCUGGCGGCGUGCCUAAUACAUGCAAGUCGAGCGAACAGAUCAUGAGCUUGCUACAUUGACGUUAACGGCGGACGGGUGAGUAACACGUGGGUAACCUACCUAUAAGACUGGGAUAACUUCGGGAAACCGGAACUAAUACCGGAUAACAUUUGGAAGCGCAUGGUUCUAAAGUGAAAGCUGGUUUUGCUAUCACUUAUAGAUGUACCCGCGCCGUAUGAGCUGGUUGGUAAGGUAACGGCUUACUAAGGCAACGAUGCGUAGCCGACCUGAGAGCGGGUUCGCGGACUGAGAGACUGAGACACGGUCCUGAGUCCGACGGGCGGCAGCAGCAGGGAAGGUACGGAGAUGGGCGAAAGCCUGCAGGAGCAGCGCAGGGUGGGUGAUGAAGGGUCUCGGCUCGUAAAACGCUGUUAUUAGUGAAGAACGAUCGUGUAAGUAACUGUGCACGUCGUGACGGUACCUAAUCAGAAAGCCACGGCUAACUACGUG